AGUCCUGUUAUAGUACCAAAUCUGCCUUUUAAUACAGAUGUAUGGCUAUGCUAACAGGAGAGAGAAACUCCAUCACAGUCUGAAGAGGUUGAGCAGCCACAUUUCUGCCACCUCUAAUGAAACGAUGGUACAAAAUGAA